ACCCUCAAGCCCCCCCUGGGGCUUGGUGUUGGGACCGGCCCCGCCCUAUCGCGGGUUGCCGCCCCCGAAAUACAGUGGCGGUCUCGCUGCAGCCUCCUCUGCGUAGUACCUGAAACCUCGCACUGGAGCGCGGCGCGGCCACGCCGAUAAACCCCCCAACUUUGCAAAAGGUUGACCUCGGAUCAGGUAGGGAUACCCGCUGAACUUAAGCAUAUCAAUAAGCGGAGGAAAAGAAACCAACAGGGAUUGCCCCAGUAACGGCGAGUGAAGCGGCAACAGCUCAAAUUUGAAAUCCGGCCCCCCGGGCCCGAGUUGUAAUUUGCAGAGGAUGCUUUUAGCGAGGCGCCGCCUGAGUUCCCUGGAACGGGACGCCAUAGAGGGUGAGAGCCCCGUCUGGCUGGACGCUAAGCCCCUAUAAAGCUCCUUCGACGAGUCGAGUAGUUUGGGAAUGCUGCUCAAAAUGGGAGGUAUAUGUCUUCUAAAGCUAAAUAUUGGCCAGAGACCGAUAGCGCACAAGUAGAGUGAUCGAAAGAUGAAAAGCACUUUGAAAAGAGGGUUAAAUAGUACGUGAAAUUGUUGAAAGGGAAGCGCUUGUGACCAGACAUGGGCUCGGCGAAUCAUCUAGUGUUCUCACUGGUGCACUUUGCCUUGCCUAGGCCAGCAUCAGUUCGUUACGGGGGAUAAAAGCUUCAGGAAUGUGGCUCCCCUGGGAGUGUUAUAGCCUGUUGUACAAUACCCUGUAGUGGACUGAGGUUCGCGCAUCUGCAAGGAUGCUGGCGUAAUGGUCAUCAGCGACCCGUCUUGAAACACGGACCAAGGAGUCGUCUUCGUAUGCGAGUGUUCGGGUGUCAAACCCCUACGCGAAAUGAAAGUGAACGCAGGUGAGAGCUUCGGCGCAUCAUCGACCGAUCCUGAUGUUCUCGGAUGGAUUUGAGUAGGAGCAUACGGGGCCGGACCCGAAAGAAGGUGAACUAUGCCUGUAUAGGGUGAAGCCAGAGGAAACUCUGGUGGAGGCUCGCAGCGGUUCUGACGUGCAAAUCGAUCGUCAAAUAUGGGCAUGGGGGCGAAAGA
rnacentral:rRNA from 1 species